rnacentral:rRNA from 1 species
UAUGGGGGGGGCAAGCGUUGUUCGGAAUUACUGGGCGUAAAGGGCUCGUAGGUGGCCAACUAAGUCAUACGUGAAAUCCCUCGGCUUAACCGGGGAACUGCGUCUGAUACUGGAUGGCUUGAGGUUGGGAGAGGGAUGCGGAAUUCCAGGUGUAGCGGUGAAAUGCGUAGAUAUCUGGAGGAACACCGGUGGCGAAGGCGGCAUCCUGGACCAAUUCUGACACUGAGGAGCGAAAGCCAGGGGAGCAAACGGG